rnacentral:rRNA from 1 species
CGAUCCGUAACUGGUCUGAGAGGAUGAUCAGUCACACUGGAACUUGAGACACGGUCCAGACUCCUACGGGAGGCAGCAGUGGGGAAUAUUGGACAAUGGGCGAAAGCCUGAUCCAGCCAUGCCGCGUGUGUGAAGAAGGUCUUCGGAUUGUAAAGCACUUUAAGUUGGGAGGAAGGGCAGUUACCUAAUACGUAAUUGUUUUGACGUUACCGACAGAAUAAGCACCGGCUAACUCUGUGCCAGCAGCCGCGGUAAUACAGAGGGUGCAAGCGUUAAUCGGAAUUACUGGGCGUAAAGCGCGCGUAGGUGGUUUGUUAAGUUGAAUGUGAAAUCCCCGGGCUCAACCUGGGAACUGCAUCCUAAAACUGGCAAGCUAGAGUAUGGUAGAGGGUGGUGGAAUUUCCUGUGUAGCGGUGAAAUGCGUAGAUAUAGGAAGGAACACCAGUGGCGAAGGCGACCAC